ensembl:lncRNA
UCCUGCCCCGGUGCUGACAGUGGACCCUCCGUCUGGAGUGGUGAAGGAAGGGGGAUUCCUGUGCCUCAGUUGCUCGGCCAUUGGCAGCGACGCAGAGCAAAGGUUCCAUUUCUACAAGGAUGGGCUCAAGAUUUCCUCCAGCAAUGAAGAGUCUCUGGCGGACUCCAGAGAACCCAGGAAUGCCUACUUGAGCGCCUCUGCAGACAUCCUGGUCCAAGUCACAGCCAGCAACCACACUGGGGGAUUUGCUUGCAGGUAUGAGCAGAAACUGAGCAGCCGAUGGAUCAUGUCUCCCUGGAGCCAAACGGUGAAUCUCACAGUUCCGCCUCCACCAGCUCCAGAGCUGUCCAUCAUCCCUCCAAGACAGUCUUUUCUCCAAGGGCAACGGAUCACGAUGAAAUGCUCCCACCCGGAAGGGAAGCUGGCAGACAAGUUCUUCUUUUAUGAAAUUAAAGCAGGUGGUAAUUACACUAGACCCCAAGAACAGUUCAAUAAUACGCUGGAAAUCACUGCAGGAUUUAAGGAAACAAAGAAAUCAUUUGCCUGUGCCUACUUGGAAAAAAACAGGGCAGGACAACUGUCUGAACGGAGUAACAGCAUUGAGGUUUCCAUUAUAGCUCAGUUGCCAGAUUCAUCUGCUCCAUCAAUGGGCCAUGCAUGGUGGGCUAGUCUGCUUCUGAUCCCAGCGGUCCUGUUCGCUUACUAUUGUUGGAGAAAGAAAGGCAUUCUUUUUGCCUUGGGCACAUCAAAAUAUCAGCUAGCAUCUGAGACAAAGGAAAGCAAGGAGGAAACAAGUCAAGACAUGUUUGGGUUGUUGGUACCCCAAAAGACAGACUUUCAGGUCAAAAGCUCAGACGUCACCUAUGCCACCAUUGCCUCCCCACCGACUGUGACUGCCUCUGAACCAACGCUGAAGAAUGAUCCCAUCUCAGCAAAAGACGAAGAGGUCCUCUACAGCGAUCUUCUCUUCCACCCUCAACAAAGCCACCUUGAGGCUGUGCAGGAAAGAGAUGGCCCAGAAGUGGAAAGGGCAGGUGCUGUGUGAAGCAAUGGGUGGAUUUGUCCCUUUCAGUCUCUCCUUUUCCCACUCUCAGUUCUCCACACUGACACAUCAGUUUGUGAUUUAUUUAUUUUUCAAUUCUCAUAAAAACUCAGCAGCAUCUUAGAAAGAAUAUCUCCUAGCAUACAUACUUGCCUGUGCAAUUUUGCAUUUUCUGCACAUCCUUGCAAAGCAAUUUCCCCUGAUCGUAACGUGUCCCUGCAUGCUAUUUUCACCAAUAAAUGCACACUUUACCUUAAGUGUGCAUUUUUGAACAUGUUGCUCAGCUGGAGAACUGCAAAAUUAGCGUGAAUCUCGAAGGCCGCCACUUUCUCUUUUCUUUUUUGUAUAUCAUUUUUAUUACGUUUUCUGUUUUACAAUUUAAAAUGCUCAUUUUACAUCCUUAAGAUAUCAGUGACUUCUCUUUCCAUGGUUCAUUUUACAUAUCAUAAAUCCCUGCAUAUUUUGCAAAAAUUAUGCCAUACAGUGUUUCAUUAUUGCAUCCAUCAAAACUUGUUUACACUGCUGAAUUUAUCUUAAUGCCGCCAGUGUUUUCAGCUGUACGUAAUUAUUUCCCAUACAUUCAAUAAAUGUUUUCCAAUCUUCUCUAAACGUGUUCUUCUUGAGGGCUUCCGGUCAGCGCCAGCGACCUAAUGGCGGAUUCCCUCUGAGCUCCGGAGGGAAAUAGUGCUUCAGGUUAGGAACUUUGCUUCAGAAUGAGAACAGAAAUCGUGCUCCUGCGGCGCGGCAGCAGCGGGAGGCCCCAUUAGCUAAAGUGGUGCUUCAGGUUAAGAACAGUUUCAGGUUAAGUACGGACCUCCGGAAUGAAUUAAGUACUUAACCUGAGGUACCACUGUAUAUAAAAAAGACAGGAAUUCCUUUGAAUGAUGACGUGCUGUCAUGCCGCCAGAGCAUGAUUUCUGUUCUCAUCCUGAAGCAAAGUUCUUAACCUGAAGCACUAUUUCUGGGUUAGCGGAGUCUGUAACCUGAAGCGUAUGUAACCUGAAGCGUCUGUAACCUGAGGUACCACUGUACUGUGUUUAUCGGGUGUCACUGCCAAGGCAGGCUGCCCAGAAGCAGCCUUUUCUCCGUAGCCGAUGGGCAAAACCCCAGUUGUUCCUUUGAAAGUUGAUGCAAGAGGCAGGGCGUGCAGCAGUCUGAUAUUACUAGCAGGGAGCUGCGGAGGGAGCCGUGGUUUUGUUUUGUUCUUCUGAGAAGAGAGGAAUCUGGGGACGUGGCCAGUGUGGUCUACCAAGUGAGGAAGUGCUGUUUUUUUUUCCUGCACAGCCACACAGCUUCAAGGCCUGCGGUUCUCUCCAGUUUAAACCAAACCUCACACACAGCGAGGGGAGAAUCUGUCCAUGUUGACGGACUUUGGGAGAAGUGAUGUGCGCUGGGCAUGCUUUAUUUUUUCUAUUUUUUUUUAAUUUUUAUUGGAAAUUUUAUUUACAACAUAACAUAAACCCCCUGCCCCCAAUACAGAAACCUACCCUCAUUAAACAUGAACAUAACAUACAAUAAGCAUAACAUACAACAAUACAAAUAAAAGACUUCCUUUAUCCUGUAUCUGGCCUCCUUAUUUACUUCUUAUAAGCUGUUUCCUUUAUGAAUAAUUAUUAAGAUUUUUCUAAUUGUAACUUAAAUAUCCACAAAGUCUCCUUCAGACAUUAAUCGAAACAAGUCCAGGUAUGUCUUUUAGGGCACUGUUUUGUGAAGUAUUCUCUGCAUUUUCCCCAUGCUUUUCGAAACGGUGAUCUCUAAUUGCCUCUGUUAAUCUAGCCUGUUCAAUAUACUCUAACAGUUUGUCUUGCCAAUCCCUGUAAUCGGAAUACGGUGCAAUCAGACCAGGAUUGAUGCAAUAUGUUCAAACCCUCUUGUUCCAGUGAGCAUCCUGGCCGCUGAAUUCUGCACCAGCUGAAGUUUCCAAACCGUCUUCAGAGGCAGCCCUGCAUUGCAGUAAUCUAACCUUGAGGAUACAAGAGCAUAGACAACAACUUCAACCAUUCCUAUCAUCCCUCAAGCACAGACCAUGUUGGCUGGGGCUGAUGGGAGCUGGAUCCCAAGAUCAUCGAGGGAGCCACAAGUUCCCCAUCCCUGAUCUAGGGAGAGGAACAGCAGCUAACUGGGCAAAUCCUGCCACUUAGAGGCACCCUUGGGCAACGGGGCAAAGUAUUUUAGACAGACAGACUCUUGAGGAAAGAGCUGCAGAAAGUGAGCCAAGCCGUUUGCUGGACUAGGCAGGGAAAGGCAGAACGCUGCCCUCUUCCCUGACCCCUUCCACCCCAUCUCCCUGGUCGUAAUCUCCCCGACGGCUCAUUCUUCUUCAGAAUCUCUGUAUCCUUCUGCUCUCUUCUUGCCCUGAAGGGGAAUGUAGUUGUAGAGACCUUCCUCCUGGUCUUCAACUGGUUUGGCUCCACUCUCCAUCCAUGACUGCGAUAUUGGGGGCUGAGGCAGAGCAGGGGGCGGCAAGGCAGUAAAAGGUGUCUGAGUCCUGAAAAGGAGAAGGAAAUUGAGGGAAAUUGAGGCUGUUGGGAGCAAAUUGAGGGUUGGCAUCCAUUUUUGAUAGCAGGAAAGUGGCCACCCUCCCCUUUUGCUUAUCUCCAGUGCACAGCAAUUCAGAGGUAGACUGUUUCUGCACAGUGAAGACCUAUUUAGCUGUCAUGACUAAAAUGCUUUGGCAGAAUAUUCUUCACAAAUGUACCUCUUUUCAAAGGGCAUCUAAACCACAUCCUGUAGCAGCCAAUUCCAUAGCUCAGUUUCUAUUUCCUUAAAUAGAGAUUGUGGGGGAGGGAGCCAGUUAAUGUAUUAUCAAAGGUUCGUUUUUAAAUGGUUCCACAAUUUCUCUCCCAGUUUUUUUACACAGAGAAUACACACAGCAGCUCUUGGCAAAGGUGAGUGGUCAAGCAACUCAACGAAUCUGCUCCCUUCUCCCCUUCUGCCUCCACCUUUCCCUGCCCCAUCGCUCUAUCCCUGUCCCAGCCACCCCAUCUCUUUCAGACAUCUUCCCUUCUCUCCAACAUGCCAAUCAUUUCCCCCUCCUUAUCUGCCACCCUCAAACUUGUUCUUUCAGUCCUUCUUCCUGGAUAGCUCAGUUGGCUAGAGCGUGGUGCUGAUGAUGCCAAGGUUGCAGGUUUGAUCCCCGUAAGGGGCAGCUGAAUAUUCCUGCAUUGCAGGGGGGUAGGACUAGAUGAUCCACUGGGUCCCUUCCAAUUCUACAAUUCAAUUAUUCUUCCUGUGGGGUCUCUUGGUCCUUUUUCUGCCUGGGACACCCCCCGCUGCCUGUUCCUCCAAUCGCCUUUCAUCCUUUUAUCUCCCAGCCAACAGGACGUUGUCCCUCUCUUGACUGAUAAGUCUCUCCUGCAUUUCCAGGUUGCCAGGCUCUGGGUUCAAGUUUUCCUCCCCUCUGGAAACUCCUUGCAUUUUUUGUGGGUGCUCUUCGCUUCCAACUGUUCAAAACUUUAGGAACUGAACUGCUGCCUGAGCUGGCUCUUUCGCUCCUCCCUUCCUCCUUGUGUGCCACAACCAUUGUUAUUUUGGCUGUCCAGUCUAGGAACACUUUUUGGAAGAAAUGCUUUAAAUAAAUAAGAAAUUAUGAAGACACACAUCACAUCAGUGUUAUACCAGCAUUAGUUGCCGUUACCUCUGAGGCUUCCGAGUGGCGCUGAACAUUUCAACAUACUCAGAAUUUGCUUCUUCCUUGUUUUCCUGCUCAGAUUUCAACGCUUCCAAAGUGGAAAUGAAAAGAGAGAAGAGAAGAAAGAUAGUGAGACCUGAAAGCAAACCUCUUGAGGUUUAUGUAUACCCUGCCCACCUUUUGGGUUACCCAGCCAC